rnacentral:tRNA from 1 species
GGGUUCGGCCGGUAUUUGAACCCGGGACCUCUCGCACCCUAAGCGAGAAACAUACCCCUAGACCACCGAACC